rnacentral:rRNA from 1 species
UACGUAGGGGGCAAGCGUUGUCCGGAUUCAUUGGGCGUAAAGGGCGCGUAGGCGGCUCGGUAAGUAGGGGGUGAAAUCCUGCGGCUUAACCGCAGGGCUGCCUUCUAAACUGUCGAGCUCGAGCACGGUAGAGGCAGAUGGAAUUCCCGGUGUAGCGGUGGAAUGAGUAGAGAUCGGGAAGAACAUCAGUGGCGAAGGCGGUCUGCUGGGCCGUUGCUGACGCUGAGGCGCGACAGCGUGGGGAGCAAACAGG